rnacentral:lncRNA from 1 species
GCUCCCUAACGAUAUCACCUUCAGCAUUAGAACUGAACAAACACAGUUCCUGCAGCCUGUCUUCACAGAAGAGGUACUCCAUGGCCCUCCUCUGGACCCUCUCCAAAAGCUCCACAUUCUUCCUGUGCUGGGGUCCCCAGACUUGGAUGCAGUACUCCAGCUGGGGCCUCACAAGGGCAGAAGAGAGGGGCACAAUCACUUUCCUUGCCCUGCUGGCCACCCCUCUUCUAAUGGAACCCAGGAUACCAUUGGCUUUCAGGGAUGAAUGAAUGUUUGAUGUAGGCCUAGAAGGUAUUCUGAGCAAAUUUGCUGACUCUGUCAAGGGUGGAGAGGCCUUGCAAAAAGUUCUAGACAAAUUAGAGAGCUGAGCAAUCACCAACUGCACGAAGUUGAACAAGUGCCAGAGUCUUCACCUGGGACAGCCCCAAACUACCAGAGUUUGAGAAGCAUCUGGACAAUGCUCUCAGUCACAUGGUCUGAUUUUUUUGGGUGGUCUUGUGUGGAGUUGGACUCAGUGAUCCUUCUGGGACCCUUCCAAUAAAGAAUAUUCUACGAUCCUAUGAUGACUUAUUAACAGUGAUCAACAUCUAAUCAUACAACAGGCGGAGACUUUUGGGAGAGCCAAGAUUUAAGAAAGGGAUCAACAGAAGCAGAGAAAACAGUCACCUUAAAAAAUCAGAGUAAAGAGUGUUUUCUGAUGCAAAUCAAAAUGUCACUUUCCUAUGAAACAGCAGCCCAUAAUCUGGGGGAAGGUUUAAACGUGCUGACUGUUAAGGGGGAAUAUUGGG